UACGAGGGGGGCGAGCGUUGUUCGGAAUUAUUGGGCGUAAAGGGUGCGUAGGCGGUUCCGCAAGUCCUGUGUGAAAUCUUCGGGCUCAACUCGAAGUCUGCACGGGAAACUGCGGGGCUUGAGUGUGGGAGAGGUGAGUGGAAUUCCCGGUGUAGCGGUGAAAUGCGUAGAGAUCGGGAGGAACACCAGUGGCGAAGGCGGCCUUCUGGACCAAUACUGACGCUCAUGCACGAAAGCGUGGGGAGCAAGCAGG
rnacentral:rRNA from 1 species